rnacentral:sRNA from 1 species
GAAGAGGCAGUAAGCAUGCAUGAUGGAAACGUCAUUACUGCAGUUCUGAUUUUCCUGAAGAGGACACUGAGCAAAGAGAUCCUCUUCCGAGAGCUGGAGGUGCGACAGGUUGCCCUGAGACAUCUUAUUCACUUCCUUAAGGAAAUAGGGGAUCAAAAGUUGCUUUUAGACCUCUUCAGGUUCCUAGAUAGAACAGAAGAGCUUGCGGUCCUGGUUGUUAGGAGUUUUGGGGUUUUGGCUUCUCACAAAGAAAAUGUUGAAGGCUAAGAGGAUAAGAAACCGGAUAUAGGUCAAGAAGGAAGAUAGGUCAAGUUGAUGAUACACCCAAUACACGUUUUGGCUGAGAAUUCAAUGGCCAGGCAUUAAGAUUAAAUUUUGGCAGAUUUUCACAAUCAUAGAAUGAACUCCUGGAAUACAAGAAUAAAUCUGAAAUUUUACCAAAAA